rnacentral:SRP_RNA from 1 species
GCCAGGCGCGGUGGUGCAUGCCCGUAGUCCCAGCUACUUCGGAGGCUGUGGUGAGAGGAUUGCUUGAGCCCAGGAGUUCUGGGCUGCAGUGUGCUACGCUGUUCGGGUAUCCGCAUUAUGUUCGGCAUCAAUAUGGUGACCUCCGGGAGCCGGGGACCACCAGGUUGCCUAAGGAGGGGUGAACCAGCUCAGUUCAGAAAUGGAGUAGGUCAAAACUUCCCCACUGAUCAGUAGUGGUAUUGUGCCUGUAAAUAGCCACUGCACUCCAGCCUGGGCAACAUAGCAAGACCCUGUCUCU